rnacentral:rRNA from 1 species
GCUUGUCUCAAAGAUUAAGCCAUGCAUGUUCAAGUAUAGCAAGUGUACAGUGAAACUGCGAAUGGCUCAUUAAAUCAGUUAUCGUUUAUUUGAUGAUCUCUUACUACUUGGAUAACCGUAGUAAUUCUAGAGCUAAUACAUGCACAAAAUCCCGACUUACGAAGGGAUGUAUUUAUUAGAUACAAACCAACAUCGUGGUGAUUCAUAAUAACUUUUGCGAAUCGUAUGCCUCACGGCGACGAUGAAUCAUUCAAAUUUCUGCCCUAUCAACUUUCGAUGGUACGGUAUUGGCCUACCAUGGUUACCACGGGUAACGGGGAAUUAGGGUUCGGUUCCGGAGAGGGGGCCUGAGAAAUGGCCACCACAUCCAAGGAAGGCAGCAGG